GGCUGCCAUCCUUAGACAUUCGUUGUGUGGUACUCUACUCCAAAGAGUGGCAAUCAUGUGUAAUUAGAUGUGAUUGACACCUCUGUGAGUGGAGUAACAUGUGACACAUGCGGCACAGGUGAUGGCACUGUAG
ensembl:miRNA